rnacentral:rRNA from 1 species
AACGAACGCUGGCGGCAUGCCUAACACAUGCAAGUCGAACGAGACCUUCGGGUCUAGUUGCGCACGGGUGCGUAACGCGUGGGAACCUGCCCUUAGGUUCGGAAUAACUCCCCGAAAGGGGUGCUAAUACCGGAUAAUGUCUUCGGACCAAAGAUUUAUCGCCUUUGGAUGGGCCCGCGUUGGAUUCGCUAGUUGGUAGGGUAAAAGCCUACCAAGGCGACGAUCCAUAGCUGGUCUGAGAGGAUGAUCAGCCACACUGGGACUGAGACACGGCCCAGACUCCUACGGGAGGCAGCAGUGGGGAAUAUUGGACAAUGGGCGAAAGCCUGAUCCAGCAAUGCCGCGUGAGUGAUGAAGGCCUUAGGGUUGUAAAGCUCUUUUACCCGGGAUGAUAAUGACAGUACCGGGAGAAUAAGCUCCGGCUAACUCCGUG